rnacentral:rRNA from 1 species
CAGUCGCCGCGGUAAUACGGAGGGUGCGAGCGUUAAUCGGAAUUACUGGGCGUAAAGCGUACGCAGGCGGCUAUUCAAGUCAGGGGUGAAAGCCCGGGGCUCAACCCCGGAACUGCCUUUGAAACUAGAUAGCUUGAAUCUUGGAGAGGCGAGUGGAAUUCCGAGUGUAGAGGUGAAAUUCGUAGAUAUUCGGAAGAACACCAGUGGCGAAGGCGACUCGCUGGACAAGUAUUGACGCUGAGGUGCGAAAGCGUGGGGAGCAAACAGGAUUAGAUACCCCUGUAGUCCCUGUCUCUUAUAC